rfam:Danio rerio chromosome 22, GRCz11 reference primary assembly.
GCCGGCAGCUAGCUCUCUGCAACUCUCACAUGGUCGCCCACUGAAGCUAAGCAGGGCUGCGCCUGGUCAGUACCUGGAUGGGAGACCACAUGGGAAAGCUAGGUUGCUGCCGGAA